UCCGUGGCUGGGAUUGGCUGGGACUUCUGGUGCCUCCUGCCAAGGGUGGAGCCAAUGGUUGGGCUUCCCAGUAGCCUCCAAGCAUGCGCACUUGAGCUCGAGGUCAUGUGUCUGUUAAUCAGUGCAGUUAGUCCAUCAUCGACCUCUGUGCAAGUUGGUGGUCGUGUCCCUGUUCUCCAUGCGGCCUGCAAGCAUGCUCUUGCAGGGUUUUAAGAUCAGAAUCUGGAGCUGUGUACUGAGAGACAAGAGAGGGCACGUCUGAACUGCCUUCUGAAUUGCUGUGACCGAAUGACCAGCAGGAAGCAGCUUGAGGGAGGAAGGGUGUUAUUUUGGCUCACAGUUUGAGGGGCCAGCCCACUGUAACAGGGAAAGCACCGAGUCAGGAAUAGUUCUCAGCUGCGGCAACAAGAGCGGACGGCUUCUGGCUCAAAGCUAAAUAGAGGAGGCAGCAGAGGUAAGAUAGGACCCGAAGAGUCCCACCACCUACCCCUGGACCCACAGCUUGCUGCCAGGCUUUACUUUAUUGAGGUCUCCCAAGGAUGCACAGCCAACUGUAGAGCUCACGAAAGGCACUAUACAUACUAAAUGUAACAGGGCCUUGUCUUGUUCCUGAUUUUAAAUUUGUGGGUGUUUAGCUUGCAUGUAUGUUUGUGGACCACAUAUGUACAGUGUUCACAAAGGCCAGAAGGGGGCAAGUCUGAUCCCCUGGAGCUGGAGUUACAGAUGGUUGUGAGCCAUCAUGUGGGUGCUGGGAAUUGAAUCCAGGUCUUCUGGAAGAGGAGCCGGUGCUCUUAACCACUGAGCCAUCUCACCAGCCCGUUGUUCCUAAUUCUAGAGGAGAUACAUUCAGGCUUACCCUAUUUAAUGUAAUGUUGACUAUAAGUUUGUCAUAUUAUAGUAUCUGCAAUGCUGGCAUAUGUUCUGUCUAUUCCCAGCUUCUUCUUGGCUUUUAUCAUGAAGGGCUGUUGAACUUUACCAACGGCCUUUUCUGCAUCUAUUGAGACAAUGAGACGACUUCCAUCCUUAACCAUCACACUGAUUGAUCUGCGAAUACUGAACCAUCUUUACAACUGGAACAAGACCAACUUGGAUUGGUGUAGGAAUUUCCUAGUGUAUUCUUGAAUUUGGUUUCCAUUCGGUUGAGAGUUCUUGUCGGUAUUCACCAGGAACUCAGUCUGUAGUGGUCAUGUGUUGCUAUGUCUACAUCCUGUUUGUAGUGUUGCUAGGACAGAGGCAGUUUACUGGUGUCCUUAUCUUUCUAUUUUCGGAAUAGUUUGAAGAACGUGGAUGUUAGUGGUUCAGCAAAGAUCUGGCAGCGUUCAGCAGCAGCUCUCUUUGGCCUGGGUUUCCCCCUGUUGGGAGGCUUUGUUGCUGCCUCAGCACACUGCUUCUUGGGGAACUCCUUACAUUGUUCUCAUAUUCUUGAUCUAAUUUUGGUCGGCCACAUGUACUUUGGAAAUUAUCCAUUUCUUCUAGAUUUUUCAGGGUUAUUUUUCCCCCUCCAGGAAAGUAUGUUUCCAAAAUGUUCCCCAAUAAUGUCCUGGACUUCACUGGAAUCUGUCAUCAACACUUCCUUUUAACCUCUAAUUUUAUUAACUUGAGUCUUCUCUUCUUUGGUUAGAUUGGCUACAGAACCUCUCAAUCUUGAUUACCAUUAUUCAAAACAGCAUUUUAAAAUCAGUUUGGUUUUUUUUUUUUUUUUUUUUUUUUUUUUUUUUUUUUAGUUUUCAUUAAUUUCUGCCCUGAUUUUUAUCGAUUCUUCUCAUCUUCACUUCUUACUAGUAAAGAAGAAAUUUGGAAAAGGUCAAGAUGACAUUUUGUCUGCCCCAGUACCGUUGAAUCUGGGAACUGAGGUCAUGAGUUUUUGGAAGAUUCGUGUUACCUUGCUGUGCUGGUUGGUUUUUGUCAGAUUAACCACGGGAAGAGGGGCCCUCAUUGAGGAAUUGCCUCUAUUGGGUUGGCCCAAGGAUGUGUCUGGGGGCACAUUUUCUUAAUUUGUUGAUUAAUGUGGGAGGGCCCAGCCCACUGUGGGCCAUGGCCAUAUCUCAACAGACAACACAUAAAAAGACCGCUGAAUGAGCUGGGGGACCAGGAGUUCCUCCCUGCCCUGUGCUUCAGUUCUUGCCUCCAAGCUCCUGCUUUCAUGCUACUGCCUUGGCUUAGCUCAGUGAUGGACUACGAUGAGGGCGAGGUGGGAUACAGCCAGAUAGGAAAAGCAGAGGCUGCUUCCUUUUUUUUGAUGUUGUUUUGUUUGCAUUCAGUAGAGAGUUUCUCUGUGUAGCUCUGCCUGCCCUGGAACUCACUCAGUUGGCCAGGCUGACCUUGAACCCAGAGAUCUAUCUGCCUCUGUCUAGGAUUAAAGACAUUUGCCACACCUAGCAGGGGCUGGGUUCUUAAGAUGGUUACUCUUUGUUCCCAAAGAACAUUGUGGCAGAAUAACAAUGGAAAAGAAAUGUUUGCCCAAGAGUGGAUACCUGGGUGGGAUGGAUAGAGGAAAUGGAAGGACCCAGUAGCCCUUAUAAAGCACCCAACUCAGAGCCCAUUGCUCAGAUUCUCCACCGAGGGACCUCUCCCAUCCUAAUGGGAACUGUCGGCUCCCCUCAAAACAGCUGUUACUCUUGCUUUCUCUGGAUUGAAUAGGCAAAUCUUUGCCCCGCCUCACAGGAUGAACUCAGCUACAAACUCUGCUGCCCACCCCACAAUUCCAGAUAAUUGUACUUGUAACCCUUUCCUCCCCGAGUUGCUUUUGGCCAGUGUUUUUGUCACAAUGACAAAAAGCAAAUUAGGGCACUUGCUUUUCCAUGUCUUAUGUUCUGCGGUAUGAAAUCUUUGCACACUGCGUUUGCGUUUGUGCAUCUAUUAGUUUAGAUCCCUGCUGGCAUCAGAGUCAAUGUCGUCAAACGUCAGGGAUACUCAGUUGAUGAAAUCUGCUCCCAGACAUCAAGGUGGAGUUCACUCCUGAGCCUCCGAAGUCAGUCUAUCGCCCUGGUGCUCUGAUCUCAGGACAGCCACUAGCCACAGCCCUCCUAGCUGGGAGGCAACCCCACAUCCUGUGGGAGAAGCCCUAAGUGGAGCUGGGUUCAGCUCACCUUUCUUCUUCUCAGUACUUCAUCUUUGUGCUUGUGUACACUUUGUAAUUGAUCUAUGAUUAUGGCCUUCUGUGAACUUCCAACACCCCUCAUCUCUUUUUUUUAUUUUAUUUUACUUUAUUUGAGGCAGGGUCUCUCAAUGUAGCCCUGGCUGUCCUGGAGCUCUCUAUGUAGACCAGGCUGGCUUCUAACACACAGAGAAUCUCCUGCCUCCCAAGUGCUGGGAUUAAAGGUGUGUAUCACAAAGCCAACCCACACCCCUUUAGAAACUUUUUCCCCUCUCCAGUAUUUUAACCUUCUCUUUCAUGGGUCAUGUGAUGGUCCUUGAAGGAAUAAAGCUACUCUAAAAAGACAUUUGUGCCCCUUCCUUUAGCUAUCAAACUAUUGAAACAGUGGUCCCCAAGAAAUUGGAAUUUCCCCAGAAUCUUGUCGUUACUGGGGAAACAGAGUCCUCUUGGAGAUUGUGAGUCUUGUUAUUAAAGGAAUUUAGAAAUGGGCUCAAAAAUGAAACUCAGAAGACUUUAUUUGAGCUUAAGAGCAAAACAGUGCAACUUAGUUGAAAAUCCCAGCAGCUGGUAUGCCUUUCAAUUUAAAGAUGGACUACAAAUAGCUCAUUAACAAAGGAAAGAGCAUGCUCAAGAGUGAGCAAGAGCCAGGGAGCUAAGGGACGAGACCCCAAAGCAUCAUUCCUCCCCACCCCCACUGGCUUGCUGCUGUACAGCCCUGUUUCUGCUGUUCAAAUUCCCGAGGCUUUGUUUUGUGCAUACUUUAUCCCAUGCUGCCUAUCCUCCUCUGCAAACUGGCUUUUUCAGUUUCUACUCUUCUCUCUCCCUGAAAGAAGAAAAAGGCUAAAGUCCUGGUGCCAGCAAGAAGCAGCGAGAAGUUGUCUCCAGGAAGCAGAUUCCGCAUAGUUUUGACAACUUUUCAGACUCCCUUGUAAGAGAAAAACUAUAGUAAAGAUAAUGAUCUUGUCAGAGAUGGACAGGACCACACCUCGAUCUGGACUGCUUGACUCUGUCUGCCUCUUGCUUCCUAUUUUUGUUGUGGAGUUCUCUUGUAGAGAGAUGGCACAUGCAACCUUUCUGCCAGGAAAUAGCAUUUUUCCACAGUGGCAUGGGUUCACAGGAUUCACAUCCAAAGGCUAAGCACCGCAGAGUGAGCAUCCUUACACAGCCUUCCUGGAUUUCCCUUUACAUUUGUCUUUUUGUCUCCUUUCUAUGGUAACAUACAUUCUGACUCACUGAUGGUUGUUACAGUGUCCUGACAAGAGUCCUGCAGGAGGGGUAGAUACUGAUUAUGGCAGUCGCCUUCCUUUUGUUUCUGGAAAGGCCCUUAUCCAUUUGAUAGGGACCUGGAGAAGGCCUGGAGGUGAGACACUGGACCUCUUUCUUUGUGACUCUUCCCAACAUGGCCACGUUGAACCAAUCUUUUAUUAAUUUUCACUCCUACCUGUCUCUUGAAUUCAUCUUUUGAGGACAGAUACCCAGCACAACUUGGUACAGCUGCCAGGGUCCACAGUCUGACUACUGGUAAUAAUUUUGGUCAAGUUGGGACCAGAAGAAAACACCCAUUUGGGGUUUCAGGAUUAGCAGGAAGUUGACCCAGAAUGGAGGAGAGUGACUGAGUGACCCAGACAAUUGCUGAAGUCAUUUUACUCCAGGAGCUUCUCCUCCCACUCCAGCCAGAGUCAUCUGGUUUUUACCUCGAUUUGGGGAAACAGAGAAAUGAGUAUUUGAACUUUGUUUUUGGACUAGAAACUGAUUCUAGAGUUUUCUGAGCCACUGAUCUUUUGUUGAGCCUUCUAAGCUGCUGCAUCAUGUCUAGGCCAGGCCUUGGCAGUUUGGAAGCUAUUUUGAACGAGUUGUGAGUUCUUUUGAACUCCCUGGGUGUCUGCUGUGUAACAGUAAAGGUUGAGAUCUGUUGAUAAUUCUGGGGUUCUGUUGAGUUGCAUCUGUUCCGACAAACCAUUAGCAACAGAAAAUCAAGGGUGUUGAAGAGAUCUCUGGUAGAACCUGUUCUCCACGACCUCCCUGCCCCUGCCUUAGUUCUUGGGACAUAAACAAGCAAUCUGGGCUGAAUCUUACUCUUUUGGUUGCACCAUGCCAAACUGACAGAGAAAGUCAGGACAGCUUCCCUCACCUGUGGAAGUGCCAGCCUUUAUUCUUGUCUGCUUGGGGAGUGAGGUUCCCCCCCGAUAGAGGUACAGGCCUGAGAGCAAGAGCAAGCUUAGCCGGAGUCUGGGAUGCCUACGGCCCUACAUGUGCUAACAGUCAGUGCUGAUACCUUUUUUGUUUUGUUUCUUCAAGGUGGUGGUGAAUUGCUUCUAUCUUUGUAUGCAAGGCUGCUCGUUGGUGGCCUUAUUAGAUUUUUUUUUCCUGUUUUGUUUUGGUUUGUUUUUUUGUUUGUAUUUUGUUGGCACCUAAAUCUUCGAUGACUUUUGACUAAACAGUGUCCAUGGUCUUCGAGCCACCUUCUUCUGCCUAUGGGCAUGCAGUGACGGGUGCUUGUAAGUUAGCUAUGGCUCACUGUUUUAAGUUUGAAUAGCUCAAACUCAAGUCAUACAGCCUCGGAUGCCUUCUCUAUUACUUCUUCACAUUGCUGUUGGUCUAAGAUUAGUUGUCCUUGAACCAUUGCUGUGGAUUUGGGCACUGGGGUAUAUUCUCUGGGAGUUUCUUGCCCCAAAACUUGUUUUCUGCUUAAUAGUUUCUUCAGACCCAUGAAGUCCUAUUGGCGGGAUUAUAUGCAUCAAUGUGUUUUUAUUU